CUUAAAUGAAUUGACGGGACCCGCACAAGCAGCGGAGCGUGUGGUUUAAUUCGUUGCUACACGAAGAACCUUACCUGGGUUUGACAUAUAGGUUGUAGGGAACUGAAAAGGGACCGACCCUUCGGGGAGCCUAUACAGGUGUUGCAUGGCUGUCGUCAGCUCGUGUCGUGAGAUGUUCGGUUAAGUCCGCUAACGAGCGCAACCCUCGUCGUAUGUUAUAUGUGUCAUACGAGACUGCCGGUAAAAGCCGGAGGAAGGUGAGGAUGAUGUCAAGUCAGCAUGACCUUUAUAUCCAGGGCUACACACACGCUACAAUGGUCUGUACAAUGGGUAGCCAAGCCGCGAGGCGGAGCCAAUCCUGAAAGCAGGCCUCAGUUCAGAUUGCAGUCUGCAACUCGACUGCAUGAAGCCGGAGUUGCUAGUAACCGCAGGUCAGCAAUACUGCGGUGAAUACGUUCCCGGGUCUU
rnacentral:rRNA from 1 species